rnacentral:rRNA from 1 species
GACAGAGGGUGCGAACGUUGUUCGGAAUUACUGGGCGUAAAGCGCAUGUAGGCGGCAGCGCAAGUCGGGCGUGAAAUCCCACGGCUCAACCGUGGAAGUGCACUCGAAACUGCGCAGCUAGAGUCCUGGAGAGGAAGGUGGAAUGCUUAGUGUAGAGGUGAAAUUCGUAGAUAUCAAGCGGAACACCGGUGGCGAAGGCGGCCUUCUGGACAGUGACUGACGCUGAGAUGCGAAAGCGUGGGGAGCAAACAGG